rnacentral:rRNA from 1 species
UGGGGAAUAUUGCACAAUGGGCGCAAGCCUGAUGCAGCAACGCCGCGUGAACGAAGAAGGUCUUCGGAUUGUAAAGUUCUGUUCUUAGGGAAGAAGGAAGUGACGGUACCUAAGGAGGAAGCCCCGGCUAACUACGUGCCAGCAGCCGCGGUAAUACGUAGGGGGCAAGCGUUAUCCGGAAUGAUUGGGCGUAAAGAGUACGUAGGUGGUUUCGUAAGCGCAGGGUGAAAGGCAGUGGCUUAACCAUUGUAAGCCUUGCGAACUGCGAGACUUGAGUGCAGGAGAGGAAAGCGGAAUUCCUAGUGUAGCGGUGAAAUGCUUAGAUAUUAGGAGGAACACCAGUGGCGAAGGCGGCUUUCUGGACUGUAACUGACACUGAGGUACGAAAGCGUGGGGAGCAAACAGGAUUAGAUACCC